rnacentral:rRNA from 1 species
UACGGAGGAUGCAAGCGUUAUCCGGAAUGAUUGGGCGUAAAGCGUCCGCAGGUGGCUAUGUAAGUCUGCUGUUAAAGCGUGAGGCUCAACCUCAUAAGAGCAGUGGAAACUACAUGGCUAGAGUGCGUUCGGGGCAGAGGGAAUUCCUGGUGUAGCGGUGAAAUGCGUAGAGAUCAGGAAGAACACCGGUGGCGAAAGCGCUCUGCUAGGCCGCAACUGACACUAAUGGACGAAAGCUAGGGGAGCGAAUGGG